UCCUUGUGAACUACAUGUUAGGAUAUAGAUAUUCAGGCCUGUCUGCAAAGGCCUAUACUUUAAGAAUUUAGGUGUAUUCUUAUCACUUAGCUAGUUAUAGAGGUAUAAAAGAAAGAAUCAAAAAUCACAGUCUGCCUGUUUAUGGGCCUUCUCUUACAGUGACAGUCUGAGGCCCUGUUCUUAGGCUAAGAUCUUUGGCUAAACAGUAGAGGCAGCCAUGAACUAGGAAGCGUAUGGUCACAUCCUCACAUUCCAAACUAGUCACAUUGAAAUAAGGCAAUCUGGGG